rfam:Triticum aestivum genome assembly, contig: Triticum_aestivum_CS42_TGACv1_scaffold_328187_4BS
UAAAUACUCCCUCCGUCCCAAAAAUUCUUGUCUUAGAUUUGUCCAAAUAUGGAUGUGUCUGGUCAUGUUUUAGUGUUAGAUACAUCCUUAUCUAGACAAAUGUUAGACAAGAAUUUUGGGACGGAGGGAGUAUAAG